rnacentral:rRNA from 1 species
ACUCAAAUGAAUUGACGGGGGCCCGCACAAGCGGCGGAGCAUGCGGAUUAAUUCGAUGCAACGCGAAGAACCUUACCAAGGCUUGACAUGGGGUGAAAACCAGCAGAAAUGUUGGGUCCGCAAGGGCGCCUCACAGGUGGUGCAUGGUUGUCGUCAGCUCGUGUCGUGAGAUGUUGGGUUAAGUCCCGCAACGAGCGCAACCCUCGUUCUAUGUUGCCAGCACGUAAUGGUGGGGACUCAUAGGAGACUGCCGGGGUCAACUCGGAGGAAGGUGGGGAUGAGGUCAAAUCAUCAUGCCCCUUAUGUCUUGGGCUUCACGCAUGCUACAAUGGCCAGUACAAAGGGCUGCGAAACCGCGAGGUGGAGCGAAUCCCAAAAAGCUGGUCUCAGUUCGGAUCGGGGUCUGCAACUCGACCCCGUGAAGUUGGAGUCGCUAGUAAUCGCAGAUCAGCAACGCUGCGGUGAAUACGUUCCCGGGCCUUGUACACACCGCCCGU